rnacentral:rRNA from 1 species
GACGAACGCUGGCGGCGUGCUUAACACAUGCAAGUCGAACGAAGUGGCGAACGGGUGAGUAACGCGUAAUCAACCUGCCCUUCAGAGGGGGCCAACAGUGGGAACCGACUCCUAUUACCGCAUCCUGAGGGGGGGGUUUGCGUCUGAUUAGCUAGUUGGAGGGGUAACGGCCCACCAAGGCGAUGAUCAGUAGCCGGUCUGAGAGGAUGAACGGCCACAUUGGGACUGAGACACGGCCCAGACUCCUACGGGAGGCAGCAGUGGGGAAUCUUCCGCAAUGGACGAAAGUCUGACGGAGCAACGCCGCGUGAGUGAUGACGGCCUUCGGGUUGUAAAGCUCUGUUAAUCGGGACGCGGUACCGGAAUAGAAAGCCACGGCUAACUACGUGCCAGCAGCCGCGGUAAUUC